AUUGAACGCUGGCGGCAUGCCUUACACAUGCAAGUCGAACGGUAACAGGUCUUCGGAUGCUGACGAGUGGCGAACGGGUGAGUAAUACAUCGGAACGUGCCCGAUCGUGGGGGAUAACGAAGCGAAAGCUUUGCUAAUACCGCAUAAGAUCUACGGAUGAAAGCAGGGGCACGCAAGGCCUUGCGCGAACGGAGCGGCCGAUGGAAGAUUAGGUAGUUGGUGGGAUAAAAGCUUACCAAGCCGACGAUCUGUAGCUGGUCUGAGAGGACGACCAGCCACACUGGGACUGAGACACGGCCCAGACUCCUACGGGAGGCAGCAGUGGGGAAUUUUGGACAAUGGGCGAAAGCCUGAUCCAGCCAUGCCGCGUGCAGGAUGAAGGCCUUCGGGUUGUAAACUGCUUUUGUACGGAACGAAAAGACUCUUUCUAAUAAAGAGGGUCCAUGACGGUACCGUAAGAAUAAGCACCGGCUAACUACGUGCCAGCAGCCGCCGUAAAAC
rnacentral:rRNA from 1 species